UCCUCCCUCCGCUCCGCCUCCACCCACCAUCCGCCGCCGUAGGCAUGGAUGUAAAACAACCCCAACCACCAGUCCCCCCGGUCAAAAUCAAAAGAACCACCAGCUCCGAUGGUAGCGGAACCGGUACAAUAAUUCUCAAUAAAUACCAACUUGGUCGUCUUUUAGGCCGUGGUAGCUUUGCUAAAGUAUACCUCGGCCGUUGUUUAGACGACAAUAAUACAGAAGUCGCCAUUAAAGUUAUAAACAAAACCGGUUCAACAACUACCUUCGAUGCUUAUAUGGAACCUCGUAUAAUCCGAGAAGUCUCCGCCAUGCGCCGCCUUAAUCACCACCCAAACAUCCUUAAACUCCACGAAGUCAUGGCUACAAAAACCAAAAUCUACUUCGUAAUGGAACUCGCCCACGGCGGAGAGCUUUUUACAAAACUGAAUCGCCGUGGCGGCCGGUUUUCUGAAUCAACCGCCCGGUUUUACUUCCACCAGCUUGUCUCCGCUUUACACUUCUGCCACCAAAACGGCGUCGCACACCGCGAUAUUAAACCUCAAAAUCUCCUCCUAGACAAAGACGGUCACCUAAAAAUCUCCGACUUCGGACUCUCCGCCUUGCCGGAGCAACUACGUAACGGUCUCCUCCACACCGCAUGUGGAACUCCGGCGUAUACUGCACCUGAAGUAGUUUACAGAAAAAUCUCCGACUUCGGACUCUCCGCCUUACCGGAGCAACUACGUAACGGUCUCCUCCACACCGCAUGUGGAACUCCGGCGUAUACUGCACCUGAAGUAGUUUACAGAAAAGGAUACGACGGAGCUAAAGCGGAUGCAUGGUCAUGUGGGGUUAUUCUCUUUGUAUUUCUCGCCGGUAGUUUACCUUUUGAUGAUUCUAACUUACCUAGCAUGUAUAAAGCUAUACACCAUCGGGAAUUU
rnacentral:lncRNA from 1 species